rnacentral:rRNA from 1 species
AGAGUUCUCUUUUCUUUGUGAAGGGCAGGGCGCCCUGGUUUGGGUUCGCCCCGAGAGAGGGGCCCAAGCCCUGGAAAGCGUCGCGGUUCCGGCGGCGUCCGGUGAGCUCUCGCUGGCCCUUGAAAAUCCGAGGGAGAUGGUGUAAAUCUCGCGCCAGGCCGUACCCAUAUCCGCAGCAGGUCUCCAAGGUGAACAGCCUCUGGCAUGUUAGAUCAA